UCUGGAGCCGGCGCACAUCUGGAUGGAGUCAGGCCCAGCGCCCGGGCCGGCGCCCAGCCAGUCCCCACCCGCUGGAUUUCCUGAUGUAAACAGAGCAAGAACACUGCAACUCUGCUGAAUGUGUCACGCGGCGCUCUUUAUCUGCUUGGGGUCAAGACGGCGACUUAGAAAAACAGAAGCGUUGCUUUGAAUUUAAACAGCUAAGAGCCAGAGCCGAGACUGGUCCUGCAGGGGGGAGGGCGAAGGCCUCCAGACCCACCUCCCGCUUUUGUGCCUACUUGUUCCACUUUAUGAAAAAUCAAGGCCAUUGAUCCUAUAGAGAGACACCUCAGAGAUCUCAUGGGUUUGGUUCCAGGCAUCGCAAUGAAGCAAAUACCACAAUACAAUGAGGCACGCACGUGUUUCGGUUUCCCAGUGAAAAUAAAAGUUGUUUAUUCUACAUUAUAGUCUAUUAAGUGUGCAACACUAGUACGUCUGAAAGAACAAUGUGUGUAGCUUAAUUUAAACAUACCUUCUUGCUAAAAAAUGCUCACCAUCAGCUGACAAUAUAGAGAGGCUAUGUAUCUUCAAUUUGUAAAAAAAAAAGUAGCAUCUUCCUUUGAGGCACAAGAAAAGUGCACCUGUGCUCCUUUCAUCCAGGUGGGACACGCCCAUGACCUGGAAACUCCAUCCCAAUGGUGCCGACACACCGCCGUGAAUUUCAAAGGGACCCAGGAGAUCCAAGAAAAGUGAUUUAGAGCUGGCCGUCUAAUGAUUCUGGAUGGGGGCUGUUGUGAGAGGCUUAGUCAGCCAGACAAGAGGCCUAAGGUCAGAUUAGAGAUGGAAGAUGUGUGUUAACUUGGACUUGAGGCCCCAGACAAUGAGGAAGAAGUCCCAUGGGUCAAUUUCUGGGUGUAUCUCUGUCAAAAGAUAUUUUUCAUGAAAAGGUGAAAGCGAGAUUCUCAUAGUGAUGUAAACAUGAGGCCGUGUUGAAGAUUUUGUCUUACUCAUUAACCACUGAGGGAACCAGGCAGGUGUUAAAAAUGGUCCAAAGGAGAGGUGAAAAGCACAAAUUUAUUUGGAGUAAGUUUGUGUAGGCAAACCUGAUUUUUCUACAGGAACAGUGAACUCUACUGAAAUUACACAGGACAACUGCAGUUUGCAUACCCAUCCUUCUCUGCAGUUUAUGAAGAGAUGUAAAAUAGCUGGCUGGCAGCAAGCCAGGUGAAAAGUCAGGCUGGUUUGAGGGCGGGGGUUGCUGUGGACUUGCAACAUUGUCAUCAAAGGACAUUUUUUCCUCUCCUGUCUGGGUUCCUUCUGCUGCUCUACACUCAUCACUGCCACCCCCCCACCCCACCCCCAAAAAAGUGAACUGAACCAGAGAAGGACCACAAGACAAAAGUCUUGCUCGUGCCAUCCUUCAGUUCCCUGGGAACAAACCAAACAAGUGAAUAUACAUAUUACAUUGGAAUGUGAGUUACAGUGGAGUGGGCAUUCCAUUCUCAGUUAUGCCAUUUUAUCGCUCUGCCAGCGAGACUCUUUCAAGCCCCGUGAGUUACUGAAUGAAUCCUGUCUGGUGCAGGAAAAUCAGAAUCCACCACUCAGAAAGUAACAAAGAAGUAGAUAAAAGAAAGUAACAGAAGUAGGUAAAAUAGUCACAACGUCACAUCCUGCAGAAGAGGAGUAUGGACCGCAGCAAAUUUUCACUCGCCUUCUGAUUGCAGAGUCUUCCUGCCUCCUCUCAGAACUGCGUCCUGCUGGCCCCUGUGGACGGUGAGGGAGGUGGAUGCCUGCAGAGGAGGAAGGGACUUCACACCCUGGCUUUGCUGCCAACAAGCCACGAGUCUGGGCAACUGGCAGCUCGAUAAAGGCAGGUCAGAUGGGUCAUCUCUGAAAGCGGGGCAUGUUCUGCCCCUCUGGUGAGGAUUCAGAAUGUCUUUCCUAAGUACCAGUGAGAACUAAACAAGGCCACAGAUGUAAAGCUCGGACAUGAGAUGCCCGGUAGAUGAUGUCAGGGCCUCCCGAUUACUGUUGUUACUGGUGACUCAGCGGCUUCCCACGGGGCCUGCGGCCGGGAGGAGAGAGGACGCUCAUCCCGCCCCUCCUGCGGGUGCCCUGCUGCGCCUGAGUGGGGGACGGGGAAGGGCCCUUGGGGGUCUGUUCGGGACCAUUUACUGGAGGAAGAUGUGGCCUGCCUGUUGGUGACUGAAGCCUUGUAAACACUCCUGCAGCCCAAGAGAUGGGGGAACGUGUGACUCCUGGAGCCUCCCUUGUCGUCACGAUGAGAUGACAUGUCGGUUUCAUUUCAGACUCUUCCUAAGGAGACUGAGCCGAGCAUUCAGGGCCUUCAGGCUGGUGGAAAGGCAUGAUUUGUUUCCUUAGGAAUUCCUUCUAUAGUACUUGGAGCUUUGUGGAUAAAGCAGCAGUCAGAGACGCCCUGUAGAAAUGGAGUGGAGGUGAUGCUAUUGGUACACUAUCCAUCUACCAGUGCAAGAGAUGCAGGGGUCAGGAAGAUCUCCUGGAGGAGGAAAUCGCAACCCGCUCCAGUAUUCUUGCCUGGAAGAUCCGGUGGACAGAGGAACCUGGUGGGCUACAGUCCAUGGGAUCUCAGAGUUGGACGUGACUGAGCAUGCGCCUGCACACAGGCAGGUAACGCCCCAUGAACCUGCCGACCGACACCUCCGCAUCACAACCUAAAGCUGAGUUUGUGCAGCUGCAGACUUCCCCAUGUCAUACCUGAAACAAAGCGUCCUUCUCUUUCCUGGUGAUAUUGUGCAAACAAGAUGGUCCUCCUUGCUUCUCAGACCAUCAGCUCUGCUUCUCAUCUGGCCCAGCCUCCUGUGAAGUCAUAGCUCUGUGAUAUGGCAGCCGUUACCAAGAUGGAAAUGAUUAGGACGUCACGGGAGCUGGCACAGGAUGGCCCAUGUUCCGGACAGGACCAGGACCCCGGGUCCCAACCACAGCUCUGCUAUCCACCCAGCCCUGCUUGGUGGCUGGGGAAAGCCGCUUCGCCUUCCCCAAGUCGAUCCUGGCGGUCUGCUGGUCAUGGCCUCAGAAGCUUGGAUGCCUGCGCCUGGACCAGCUGUUGUCUGUUGUCCCUGGGGAUGCUAGGCUCCCCCGGGUAACUGGAUGAGGCAAGCCUUUCUGGGACACCUUUCAAGUUGGGAAACUGGAGCACAGGCUCUGAGAGAAGGCAGCUGCAGGAAGUCUGGCAGAGGCACCCAUCCCCUCUGCUGAGAACAGGAAUGAGCCUGGCUGUGGGCUUGGAUGAGCUGGAGGGGGAGGACAUCCCGAAGGACUGAGGAGGGUGUUUCUAUACUGAAGAUUAACCUCGGGGUUGCGGGGGAAGGGGGGGGAAGGCUCAGAGGGAGAGGACAGUGGUCAUCAAACUUUUCCAUAAUCAAACUUUGUAGGAGACAGUUUAGCUGAAUCAGUCUAACCUUUGAGAUAAUGCUCUUUAGAAGAAAACAGAAGAUGAGAUUUUCACAGUGAGGGAACGAGCAAUGUGAGACUUUGCUGCUCUUGCUGCCCCAACCCAAUCCUUCCUCACAUAGUUGUCACCAUUCCCCUGGGAGACUGAAACCACCAGCCUCCUCUUCUGGCCUGGGGACUCCUUGUCUGUAGCCCCACUUGUGGGGGUGAAAGGCUGGAGCCCACCCACCCACCUGUGUUCAGCUGUUGGGGCUGGUGUCUGGCCAACUGGUAGACCUGAUAGGUCUUCUGCCUGUCACACCCCCCAGCUUCAGGGACUUUCACAGAAACAUCCAGUUAUCACCUGCCCGCUUCAGUGGAGGAGAGGGGUCCGGACCACUGUGGACAAGUGUUAACUUCCUGGGUGUGAACGACGAGAAGACACAACCUACAUGUAUGAUCUGUGUUUCAUCUGGGGACUGUACAGAGGACUGUAGUCCAAAGGUGGCCUCUCGGUAGCUCAAGGGGCCGUCCUGAAAAGGUCAGAGAGGAACCAGGACCUAAAGGAGCUCCUGGCUGAGAAAAAAAUCCAGUUAACAGCAAGAGAUAUCUGCUGAUCACUGAAAACAGAUACCACCAGUUUGCGACUUUAAUGCUUGUCUAGGUAUGGGAAGAUGCCAGAGUCUGAUGGGCCGACCUGGUUCUCAGGGGUCCAUCCGCCCGCCCUUGAUCUCCCCCAUCCAGGCGCGGGGCCGGCUCCCCAGAGCCUGGAGUCAGCAUCUCAGCCUCAGCUCACCCCACCGCCUGCUCACCCUGCUUCCCCAGCCUGACUCACCUGCCCCCAUGUGGAGGGGCCUGUCUGGACCUGGUCCAUGUCACUCAGAAGCCCCAGUUUGUUGUGGGCCUGUCGCCAGAGCCCUACCCUCACAGCCACCUGCCCUCCAGGACACCUGCCAGGAAUUUCAGAGGCAGCAUAGCUACGACAUCAGUGGUGGCGCCCCCCCCUCCCCCGCAGAAAUCCCAUUUCAGGAAAUGAGACCACUGUCCACUCCGUCCACUGAGUAAGACAAUGGGGCUCCCAUGAGCACUUCCGUCCACCCCCUGCCUGCAUGCCCAGCUGCUCUUCCUGCCUGUUUCCUCUCUCUGUGGCCCCCCCAGGGGUCCUCACCUCCCUUCCCACUGCUGUCCUUGGGUUCACCCCACAUGGCCUAUGCUGGCCCCGCCGCUCCCCUCGCCCUCCGCCAGGUCUCCCUGCUUCCCUCUGGUCGGCCACAGCCUCGUGUCCACACCCUGUAGAGAGCCCCUCCAAAAGCCUCCCUGAAUCACAGACCCACAGCUGGCCCACGUUUCCUGACAACUCUCGGCAUCCUGGUCCCCUCUGUCUGGGCUUUCCAAGCUAUGGGCAGCCCCGACCUCCUUCCCGAGCACAAGACCGCUUCCUCUCCCCAAACAUCAGCUGUCUCCUCCUUGGCCCCAGUGCCCUGCGCUGCCCAGGACACACCUGCACAGCUCUGCAUGGCCCUGCACGGCCUGGGAACUGCCUCCCAGGGUCACCACGCGGAGCCUCGGGGCGCCUGUCCACACUCUGCCCGGCAGGUCAGGCAGGUUCUCGCCCAUCCCCUCUGUUACUCUCUAUUCCCUUCAAGAACAUUUUCGCACACAAGCAGACAGGUGGUGUCCAUGACAAACCCAGCCCCGGACGGAACCUGGCCUUUCUAGAAGGAACGGUAAACACCUGCUGGAGGCCCAUGCCCACCUACUCACCAAAUGACCAGCAGGAGGGGCAGCUGCAGUGGGCAUUUUCCCAGGGAUGGCCAGCCGGAGCCCGAGGCUUCUGUGGAACCAGCUCCGGGCUCCUAGGACCAGACCCCACUUCUCAGGGAGCACCCAUAGCUGUGUGUGCUGGUUCCUUCCCACGGUGGCUGGCGUGAGCUGCAGGGUCCAAACUUCCAGCAGUGGGUCUAGGUGGGGAGCAGGUGGUGUCUGCCUGCUCCAUCCCCUAAGAAGAGGGUGGGGUCCAGGGAGCCCAGGAGAAUCCCCCCGGGCCCUCUUCUUUGUGAGCUGGGAUUUGCCCCUGGAGCUUGUUCCCCAAGGCAGCCAAGUGCUGACAGUGCGGCCCCGAGCUUGAAACUGGCGGCUCUGCUUCUGCCGCUUCCACCCUCAGAGCAGAGGGCUGUGCAGUGACACAGGGACGUGCCCUUGUCUGUGUGUGACACAUGGGUGUCUUGUGUGUGACCAGUUGCACGGCAGUGAGCACAGCAAGAGCUCUCGCCAGCCUCCUGCAGCCUCCGGCUCUGCACCGAGGACCGGGUUCCUGUUGUCUAUCUCCCACUGGGCUCCCUGGCUGAGCUCCCCAUGCAGAUCCACCAGACUCAGCCCACCCUUCAGCCUCAGGGUCUUGUCUUUCCAGCUCCACCUCCUUCUCCUGCGCCCCAGUGUCAGCCUCCUUCAGAUAGUGCUAACCCUGCAAGCCCCCCUCUCCACCUGUGUCCCCCCCGCCCCGCCGCCCCCCGCUUCCCAUGAUUCGUUCAUGGGACUGUUCACUUCUCCAGCCUAUCUGAUCCUCCCCUUCCCUUGCCCUGAGUCUGUGACCCUGGGCUGUACAUUCACGGCAGACCCUGGCCUAUCCAAGCAGAGUUGCUCCUUGGGUGUAAAGAUGGUAAAAGGCCUCAUUAGUCAUUUUUGUCCCUGUCCCUUGGACAGCAAGGAGAUCAAACCAGUCAAUCCUAAAGGAAAUUAACCCUGAAUAUUCAUUGAAAGGACUGAUGCUGAAGCUGAAGCUCUAAUACUUUGGCCACCUGAUGCAAAGAGCAUUGGAAAAUACCCUGAUGCAGAGAAAGACUGAAGGCAGGAGGAGAAGUGGGUAAUGAGAGAUGAGAGAUGGUUGGAUGUCAUUACUGAGUCAAUGGACAUGAAUUUGAGCAAACUAUGCGAGAUGGUGAAGGACAGGGAGGCCUGGUGAGCUGCAGUCCAUGGGGUUACAAAGAGUCGGAUAGGACUGAGCUACUGAACAACAAAGUAAAUUUUGUAUCAGUUAUGUGUAGAGUUGGUAAUAUUUUAGAUAAAUGGGGUAAAAACAUUUUAAACUGA